rnacentral:rRNA from 1 species
CCUACGGGAGGCAGCAGUGAGGAAUAUUGCGCAAUGGAGGCAACUCUGACGCAGCCAUGCCGCGUGCAGGAAGAAGGCGCUACGCGUUGUAAACUGCUUUUAUCCGGGAAGAAACCCCUCUACGUGUGGAGGGUUGACGGUACCGGAGGAAUAAGCACCGGCUAACUUCGUGCCAGCAGCCGCGGUAAUACGAAGGGUGCAAGCGUUAUCCGGAUUCAUUGGGUUUAAAGGUGCGUAGGUGGGGCGUUAAGUCAGUGGUGAAAUCCUGCAGCUCAACUGUAGACUUGCCAUUGAUACUGGCGCUCUUGAGUGCGCUUGAAGUAGGCGGAAUGUGCCGUGUAGCGGUGAAAUGCUUAGAUAUGGCACAGAACACCAAUUGCGAAGGCAGCUUACUAAGGCGAUACUGACACUGAGGCACGAAAGCGUGGGGAUCGAACAGGAUUAGAUACCCUGGUAGUCCACGCCGUAAACGAUGAUCACUCGAGAUGNGAUAUACGUCGAGUCUCUACGCGAAGACGUAGU